UCAAUUCAUCCACAUCCACCUUCAGGAAGAUAACAUUUGGCAGUUUCUUGGCCAGCUCUACCAAGAAAGGACUAAUGAAACGGCAGGGUCCGCACCACGAAGCAGUAAAAUCAACAACCACCUUCAUCAAACCCAUAGCAAAAUAAAUGACAGAUAAACACAACAAAAGUUUUCAGUUGAGAAUAAUACUAGUAGCAAACUUAAACUUCCACAUGCGAGCAUUGAAGGUCUGGGACAGGGAAGGUUAUUGGAUGCUACAAAAAUCCAACAAUAGCAUCUGGCCCAAUGCAAUCAACAUGCCCACCCAGUUGGAAGCAACAUGGUCAUAAAGCAGUAAUCAACAUGGCGCAACAUGCAUAAAACUCAUUAAUUUAAAAAUCUAUGAAUCUAUGGACAUGGAUAAACUCAUUAAUUUAAAAAUCAACAUAGCCCAAUUCCAGAUCCCAUCGCAAAAAUCCAAUCCCCUGUGACCAUCAAUCAUCAAAUCAUCAAUUGAACCUUUCAUUCUCACGGCAGAAUCCAGGUACAAAUCACUAUCACAGCGAAAUCAAAGCUUCCUUUGAUCGAGCUAAAUAUGUUCCAAUCACGUCUGAAUGAAAAUUCACACACACAAUGCAUCCAAGCAAAUUAAUGGGCCAACAGUUGAGCACAUCCCGACUGAAAUAUAAUCAACACGAUUAGCACAUAACAAACAUCCACCGCCAAAGAUUCACACAAUUAUAAAGUCAGAAUCUGAGCAAAAUCAUGAAAUUUCGCAUUAUAAAUCAGAACUCAAUCAAAAAGGAAUUGACAUAAAAUAAUACCAGCUUCUUGGAUUGAUUUGCCUUCUGCAAAUUCUCGUUCCAUAACUCAACAGUAUGGCAACCAAUCACUUGCCCCUCUUCUGCUGCCAUAUCCGAUCUGUCAAAUCUUUUUAAAAUUCUGCAAAUGCUUUUGCUUCUUGGACGUGGUUGCGAACUUGCGUUUGUUUAAAUACACAUCACGGUUAAUGGACCUAUAGUUUGGAUAAAUUACGGGUUUGCCAUGAUGAUAAGGACAGCUACCGAUUACCUAAUGGCUAAGGAAUGCAUCUCCACGGAGAUUUCUCACGCGAAUGAGCAGCGAGGCGGUCG
rnacentral:misc_RNA from 1 species